rnacentral:tRNA from 1 species
GCACCGCAUCGAACGGCCCGUGCCGCGCAUCGCCGGCGCGCAGCGUCAACGUGCCGUCGGCGGCGCGCUCGAUCGCGUCGAGCGCGGCGCCC